AGCUUUGCGCAAUGGCAGUAUCGUAGCCAAUGAGGUUUAUCCGAGCUGCAAUUAUUGCUAAUAGAAAUAAUUAAACACACGAACAAUUUCCUGUUGCGUGACGAUUGUGUCCACUUUCUCUCGGUGAACAUAGUAGUCGUCAGGAGA